rnacentral:rRNA from 1 species
AGAAAUGCCCUCUCGUUCGUUCACCUCACCAACUCGAGCUCUCUCUCUCUGGUUCCCCUCUCACCUACCCCCUUCUCGCUCCCCUCCAGAUCCCCGUCGUCGCCGGCUUCUCCUCGUCGUCGUUCGCCGGCCUCUCCUCGCCACCACCACGCACUCUGUUUCCUCCGGCCGCGCACACCGCACCGUAGGUCAAAAGCUUGCUUUUUUAGGCGCCGUCGACCAACUUAUGGGCGGCGGAGGAUGGAUCCGCGUGCACCAAAGCUGGAUCCGCGCGUGUCGACGCCGUAGCAGCGGAGCAGGGCUAUAGCAGCGCCGUCCUCCUCACGACCACAUAGCCGCGUCGGCGAAGGACUCGAAUCCCUAGUCAGCGAGCUCAGGCAGCCAUGGAUCCAUGGUCGAUGCCAUGGAAGAGCCACCAACAGCAACAGCUAAGAUAUGGACAUGCAGGCCACUGCCCUUCCUGAUGCAUCAUGCGUGCUGCCCUCCCUAACCACCGCUUCUCGGACUCUACUUCUUCCUUGGUCACCAUGGAAGGUGGAGUGUUGUUGAGGUCCAGGAGAACCAUCUUCUACAGGCGAGACGACGAGGCCGUUGUCAGUGGUGAGCUGGUACUACAGGAGAAGGAACAUGCCCAGGAGAAGAAGGAGCACGCCCAGGAGAACAAGAAGGAGCAGGAUUAAGGCCCUAAGGACCUGGCAUCGCUGCUGCUGGACCUGGGACCUAGGAUUGCUGCUGCUGGACUUGGGAACUGGGAUUGCUGCUGCUGUGUGCCUCCUUGGCACCCCUGGAUCUGGGAUCGCUGCUGGAAACAAGGACCAGGGAUCGCUGCUGGAGGCGAGGACCUGGGAGCGCCUGGGACCUGGGCGCAUGGAGGAGAAGCAGGGGCAGGCGGAGGAGAAGCAGGGGCGGGCGAGCGGACGAUGGCCUGGUGAACGGGCGGGCUAUGGCCUCGCGGAUGGAGGAAGACGAUGGGGAUACCGAUUCAAACUAGGGGCAACGAUGUAAAUUCCACCGUUUUCACCUGGUCGGAACUAAUCCUCCAGCGACUUACAUUUCGGAAUGGAGGGAGUAGGUGAUAACAGGUACUCCUAUAAUUUGGGUAUGUUAGGGUCCGCUAGCUGCUAUACAAGUAUGAUUAACAUCUUGUCUUAGCUUCACUAGGGCAAUAUGCUCCACAAUAGUUGCCACUGAUCUCUUCUUAACCAGCUGGCUACGUCCUCCCCAGUUACCCAGGCGCUCCCUGUAAGAAUGGUGCCUGUCACCCUGCAUAUUCCUGUGAAUAUACCGUGCCGGGGAAGAAUAUACU